rnacentral:rRNA from 1 species
UACGUAGGGGGCAAGCGUUGUCCGGAUUUAUUGGGCGUAAAGAGCGUGUAGGCGGCCAGGUAGGUCAGCUGCGAAAACUCGAUGGCUCAACCUCGAGACGUCGGUGGAAACCAUCCAGCUAGAGUCCGGAAGAGGAGAGUGGAAUUCCUGGUGUAGCGGUGAAAUGCGCAGAUAUCAGGAAGAACACCCGUGGCGAAGGUGGCUCUCUGGGACGGUACUGACGCUGAGACGCGAAAGCGUGGGGAGCGAACAGG